CUAUAUUUUCUUUUCUGAUAAACCCUCUGCAGGUUAAGGAAAGACUUGAAAGGGCUUUUCGUGGUUCACCCAGCCUGGUACGUGAGAGCGUUAAUCACCGUCAUCAAACCCUUCAUCAGUGAGAAAUUCAGCAGGAAGAUGCGCUUCAUCCACAGCUUGCAGGAACUGGCAGAGUUUGUUCCUGUGGCCCAGCUGCAAAUCCCAGACUGCAUCAGACAGUAUGAUGAGCAGAUGAACAGGUGAAGGUGUCUGAUGGACAGACUUCACACUGGACUGGGGUGACAUGCAUGUGACUGGGGUUAAAGGUCAAGCUUUAGGGCAAAUGCCCUAAUGACAGAAAAAUGGCUUCCUACCAGACGACUCUUUGAUGAAAUACAAAAAGACAGUGUUGUGCUUCAGAGAGACAGAGCUGUGGUCAUGCCGUAAGGUGGGUCAGGAUAGUUCUGUGAGCAACAUGAAAGCCUGUUUGACGUCAUUGCAUUUAAACUGUUACACAAAAACAGACAACCUUGUCAUGUUUCCCAGACUGUAGAAAAUGACAUUCAUUAAUACCAAUUACUUUUCAUAAAACCUAUUAGAUUUAGGCAUGAGAAAUACCAAAUACUUCUUUUGAAACAUUUCCUUUUGGACUUACAGUGAACAUACCCAAAUUAGGAUAAAUAUUAGUUUUAAUAUUUGCACUAAAUGGUUACAAAAUCUUGUUGCAUGUUAUCUGAAACCUGUAUGAACCAUCAUAUGUAUAUGGUUCAAACUCUUCAAACUACUAUCUGGCUGUUUUUAUAAGUCUUGUAAAGUGGUAUUGACUCUAUUUUAUUCAAAUUGUUUUUAUCUAUUCUGUAAAAUGCAUUGUACUUGAGCAUUUAAUCACGUGUGAAUGUUUUUAGCACAAAUGCAGCAAUGCUCAAACUUGAUGCAAAAUCAGAAAGCUAUUACAAACAAAGUGUGUAAUAUUGCUGUAAGAAGCCGCAUUGUUCAGUUUAAACUUGUUGCAAAUAUAAUCGUGCUUGGUUUCCUUCUGGAAUAUGGUUGGGAAAUGUUCUCUAAUGAUCAGCUGCUGCUGCCUGUAAAGUGGCCCAUUGAAUGUGCUUUCAUUUAAUAGACUCCUAUGUGCAAAUAUUUAUACAAGGCCACACCUGAACAACCUGAGCUUUCAAACUGCACAUACUACAUGUAUGUCUUGUCUAUGAUAUUUAAGGAAAUAAAGGGUUACAUUAAAACA